rnacentral:rRNA from 1 species
CCUACGGGAGGCAGCAGUGGGGAAUAUUGCACAAUGGGGGAAACCCUGAUGCAGCGACGCCGCGGGAGUGAAGAAGUACUUCGUUAUGUAAAGCUAUAUCAGCAGGGAAGAAAAUGACGGUACAUGAGUAAGAAGCCCCGGCUAACUACGUGCCAGCAGCCGCGGUAAUACGUAGGGGGCAAGCGUUAGCCGUAUUUACUGGGUGUAACGGGAGCGUAGACGGCAGUGCAAGUCUGGCGUGAAAGGCGGGGGCUCAACCCCCGGACUGCUCUGGAAACUGUACGGCUGGAGUGCAGGAGAGGUAAGUGGAAUUCCUAGUGUAGCGGUGAAAUGCGUAGAUAUUAGGAGGAACACCAGUGGCGAAGGCGGCUUACUGGACUGUAACUGACGUUGAGGCUCGAAAGCGUGGGGAGCAAACAGGAUUAGAUACCCCAGUAGUC